rnacentral:antisense_RNA from 1 species
CUUGACCGAGCCCAGCCACAGCGGGGACUCCUCGGGCCGGUCGCCGUAGACCGCGAGGAGCGCCUGCGCCUC